CAAAGUCAUGCCACCAGUCUGAGGACAUCACUGGGAAUGGCACAUUGGACACGUGGCUUUCAACUCCAGCGAGACCCAAGUCGACUGGACCACAGCGGAAAAUGAUCCUUCCAGAGAAGAAGUUAUUUACUUCUACAACGAAUGGAAGAGUUACAACUUCCAGAUGACAGCUCUCCGCUCAUCCUUCUGGGCAACUUGAACAUCCGACAGAACUUAUGUGACCUACUGCGUUUAUUUUCUCCUUUAGCUCUCAUUUAAGUAUUAAAAUUCGCUGUAUUUUUGCAAGAGAGGCACCAAUCCUAUUUGAGUGACGUUUCGAUUGUGAAAUUGUAUUGGACCAUAUAGGUCAUCUGCAGAGCGUUGGCCCCUGGCGCAGUAAACCAGGGUUUGAUUCUUGGCAUGCACAAGACUCCUCAUGUGACUUAAAAUGAAUCCAGAAUGCAAUAUUUGUUCAGUAUGCAAGGGCAGUGAUUUAUUUAGUCAUGUUUGGUCAUGUUUUGGUUUUUUUACAUGACAAUAUGGUUUGGUACAUGCUGAGUUAAUGAAUAUACAUUCUAAAGUGCAAUGUCCAUAUGUGAAUAAGAGUUGUAUACGUUUAUCAUAGUCAACAUGGUGUGGAAAUAUCCCUUAUGUAGUUUGUCAAUGGGAACUAUAGUAGGCCGUAAUAACAGCUAAGGUAAUUACAGGUGGAUAUUUCUGGGAAUUAACCUUAAAUGAGACUGCAUUUAUGAUAUCUAAGAUAUACAGGACAAGAAAAAUGCACUGGAUGUGUAUAUGUGUUGAAUCAAUUAUACAGACGCAAACUGGAGAACGAGACAAGU